UACGUAGGGUGCGAGCGUUAAUCGGAAUUACUGGGCGUAAAGCGUGCGCAGGCGGUUUUGUAAGCCAGAUGUGAAAUCCCCGGGCUUAACCUGGGAAUGGCAUUUGGGACUGCAAGGCUUGAGUGCGGCAGAGGAGACUGGAAUUCCUGGUGUAGCAGUGAAAUGCGUAGAUAUCAGGAGGAAUACCGAUGGCGAAGGCAGGUCUCUGGGCUGUCACUGACGCUCAUGCACGAAAGCGUGGGGAGCAAACAGG
rnacentral:rRNA from 1 species